UUGAAAACAUGCUAAGUGAAAUAAGCCAGAUAUAGAAGGUCAAAUAUUAUAUGAUUUCACAUAUAUAAGAUAUCUAGAAUAAGCCAAUUCAUAGGGAUAGAACGUAGAUGAGAGGGGCUGGAGGCGGGGUAGGGAAUGGGGAGUUAACUCUUUAAUGGAUACAGAGUUUAUGUCGGGGAGGAUGAAAAGGUUUUGGAUGUAGUUAAUGGUGAUGGGUGCACAUCAUGAAUGUAAUUAAUGCCGCUGAAUUGCACACUUAAAAAUGGUUUAAGGGGCACCUGGGUGGCUCAGUCACAAGAGCCUGUGCCUCUUGAUCUCGGAGGUUGUAAGUUCAAGCCCCACGUUGGUGUAGAGAUUACUUAAAAAAUAAAAAUCUUUAAAAACAAUAGGGGAAAC